UCCUUGACGGUCCAGUGGUUAAGACUCUGCGCUCCGAGUGCAGGGGGCCCAGGUUCGAUCCCUGGUCUGGGAA
rnacentral:tRNA from 1 species